GUGCCAGCAGCCGCGGUAAUACGUAGGGUGCAAGCGUUAUCCGGAAUUAUUGGGCGUAAAGAGUUGCGUAGGCGGACUAACAAGUUUUUGGUGAAAUCCUUCGGCUUAACCGGAGAACUGCCAAGAAUACUGUUAGACUUAGAGGGAAUCAGGGGGUGCUGGAACUCGUGGUGUAGUAGUUAAAUGCGUUGAUAUCACGAGGAACACCAAAGGCGAAGGCAGGCACCUGGGAUUCACCUGACGCUAAGGCACGAAAGCGUGGGGAGCGAAACGGAUUAGAUACCCGUGUAGUCCACGCCGUAAACGAUAGAUACUAGAUGCUUGGGGUAUUGACCCCCUGGGCGUCGUAAGCUAACGCGUUAAGUAUCCCGCCUGGGGAGUACGGUCGCAAGACUAAAACUCAAAGGAAUUGACGGGGGACCGCACAAGCGGUGGAGCGCGUGGUUUAAUUCGAUGUUAAGCGAAGAACCUCACCGGGAUUUGACAUGCUACUGCUAAGCCUAUGAAAGUAGGCCUCCUUCGAGGGUGUAGCACAGGUGUUGCACGGCUGUUGUCAGCUCGUGUCGUGAGAUGUUGGCUUAAGUGCUAUAACGAGCGCAACCCUCGUGAUAAGUUGUAUCACUCUUAUCAGACUGCCUGUACUUAUGUACAGGAGGAAGGCGGGGACGACUUCAAGUCAUCGUGGCCCUUAUAUCCCGGGCUACACACGCGCUACAAUGGUAGAUAACAACGAGUUGCAAGUCAGCGAUGGCAAGCUAAUCUCUUAAACUCUAUCUCAGUCCGGAUUGCAGGCUGAAACUCGCCUGCAUGAAGUUGGAAUCGCUAGUAAACGCAGGUCAGCACACUGCGUUGAUACGUUCUCGUCUUGCACUCACCGCCCGUCAAG
rnacentral:rRNA from 1 species